rnacentral:rRNA from 1 species
GAUGAACGCUGGCGGCGUGCUUAACACAUGCAAGUCGAACGAUGAAGCCCAGCUUGCUGGGUGGAUUAGUGGCGAUCGGGUGAGUAACACGUGAGUAACCUGCCCUUAACUCUGGGAUAAGCCUGGGAAACUGGGUGUAAUACCGGAUAGGAGCUUCCACCGCAUGGUGGGUGUUGGAAAGAUUUAUCGGUUUUGGAUGGACUCGCGGCCUAUCAGCUUGUUGGUGAGGUAAUGGCUCACCAAGGCGACGACGGGUAGCCGGCCUGAGAGGGUGACCGGCGACACUGGGCCUGAGAGACGGCCCAGUGUCCUACGGGAGGCAGUAGUGGGGAAUAUUGCACAAUGGGCGCGAGCCAGAUGCAGCGACGCCGCGUGAGGGAUGACGGCCUUCGAGUUGUAAACCUCUUUCAGUAGAGAAGAAGCGAAAGUGACGGUACCUGCAGAAGAAGCACCGGCUAACUACGUG